CAUCUGUCGCCAGCUCGUUUUUGCCUUUUUGGUCUCGUUUGCUUCCGUCUCCCACGGUGUGUUUUUUUUUGGGGGGGGGACAUCCGUCUCGGCUCAUUUCCUCUCCCGUGUUUAAAGCUCCUCCGAAAAUAUCCCCCCCACCCCCUCCAAAAUGAUCGACCGACGGCUGCGAGGGAAAUUGGGCCAACAAAUUAGAUGAACCCUUGACGCAAUACCGAAAAGGAAAGAAAUACCUUCCUGCGAUUCUGGAGCAGUCGGAGCCUGGCAGCACGGCAGUUUUUCUGCACUCCCUCACUAGAGAUGGAAUCACUGCGAGAGGUUAACAUAGAGCUGUCAGUCAUAAUAUCAGAUGCGUCCGUCCUCCACCCUCGCCACCUCCGAUCAGCAGCAACGUCACGCUCCUCAUCACAGGAUUGCAGCCACUUCCCUCACCACCACCACCAGCGUCUGGACCACAAGGUGGAAUACAGCCUCGUCUGACCUAAACAUCUCUACCCCUGGACUGUCCUAUUGCUGGAUGGAGUCCAAUCUCCAAAGACUUUGCACAAAUUAUAUUUAUGCAUGUUUCAUAUAUUUGUGCUGAUUGAAUUGCCUUUCUAUAAGAAUCUCAAACAAAAAAAUAAAUAUUACAAGAUUACAGU
ensembl:lncRNA